AGAUUUACAGUUGGAGGAAAUGGGAGAGCCAUGCAAUCAUGAUGGCUGCCAUAAACCCGCAAGUGAAAAAAAGCAAGGUUUUGAGGCGACAAUCUACUUUUGUUUUCCAUCAUACUUCUCAUCCAUGGAGUAGGAGCCGAGUUCUCAUUUGGAUGCUUUGCUUCUUACGACAAUUCAAGAGCUCUAUACAGAAGUCAGACUACCUGGCAUUGCGUUUGGGUUUCAUCACUGUGGGUAUCUUUGUC